rnacentral:rRNA from 1 species
CCUACGGGAGGCAGCAGUGAGGAAUAUUGGUCAAUGGGCGGAAGCCUGAACCAGCCAAGUAGCGUGCAGGAUGACGGCCCUACGGGUUGUAAACUGCUUUUAUACGGGAAUAACGCGCCUUACGUGUAGGGCUUUGCAUGUACCGUAUGAAUAAGGACUGGCCGAUUCCGUUCCAGCAGCCGCGGUAAUGCGGAAGGUCCGGGCGUUUUCCGGAUUUUUUGGGUUUUAAGGGAUGGUUGGCCGCAUGUCAAGCGUGCUGUGAAAUGUCCGGGCUCAACCCGGGCCUUGCAGCGCAAACUGGCGUGCUUGAGUCCGCGGAAAGCAGGCGGAAUGCGUGGUGUAGCGGUGAAAUGCUUAGAUAUGACGAAGAACCCCGAUUGCGAAGGCAGCUUGCUGCAGCGGAACUGACGCUGAUGCUCGAAAGCGCGGGUAUCGAACAGGAUUAGAUACCCUAGUAGUC